CAGGGAUUGCCUCAGUAACGGCGAGUGAAGCGGCAACAGCUCAAAUUUGAAAGCUGGCUCCUUCGGGGCCCGCGUUGUAAUUUGUAGAGGAUGUUUCGGGCGCGGCGCCGGUCUAAGUUCUUUGGAACAAGACGUCAUGGAGGGUGAGAAUCCCGUAUGUGACUGGUGGCCUGUGCCCAUGUGAAGCUCCUUCGACGAGUCGAGUUGUUUGGGAAUGCAGCUCAAAAUGGGAGGUGUAUUUCUUCUAAAGCUAAAUAUUGGCCAGAGACCGAUAGCGCACAAGUAGAGUGAUCGAAAGAUGAAAAGCACUUUGGAAAGAGAGUUAAACAGUACGUGAAAUUGUUGAAAGGGAAGCGCUUGCAAUCAGACUUGCGCGGUGUCGAUCAACCUGGGUUCUCCCUGGUGCACUCGGCGCCGCUCAGGCCAGCAUCAGUUUCGGCGGUGGGAUAAAGGCCUGGGGAACGUGAGUUGCCUCGGCAACUGUUAUAGCCCUAGGUGCAAUGCCGCCUGCCGGGACUGAGGACCGCGCUUCGGCUAGGAUGCUGGCGUAAUGGUUGUAAGCGACCCGUCUUGAAACACGGACCAAGGAGUCGAACAUUUAUGCGAGUGUUUGGGUGUCAAACCCAUACGCGCAAUGAAAGUGAACGGAGGUGAGAACCCUUAAGGGUGCAUCAUCGACCGAUCCUGAAGUCUUCGGAUGGAUUUGAGUAAGAGCAUAGCUGUUCGGACCCGAAAGGUUAGUGCACUAUUCCCUAUCCCCCUUUUUAAAUCACUUUAAUACUAACUUUUUCGCUUUACAGAUGGUGAACUAUGCCUGAAUAGGGUGAAGCCAGGGGAAACCCUGGUGGAGGCUCGCAGAGGUUCUGACGUGCAAAUCGAUCUUCAAAUUUGGGUAUAGGGGCGAAAGACUAAUCGAACCAUCUAGUAGCUGGUUCACGCCGA
rnacentral:rRNA from 1 species